GACGAACGCUGGCGGCGUGCCUAAUACAUGCAAGUAGAACGCUGAAGGAGGAGCUUGCUUCUCUGGAUGAGUUGCGAACGGGUGAGUAACGCGUAGGUAACCUGCCUGGUAGCGGGGGAUAACUAUUGGAAACGAUAGCUAAUACCGCAUAAUAGUAGAUGUUGCAUGACAUUUGCUUAAAAGGUGCAAUUGCAUCACUACCAGAUGGACCUGCGUUGUAUUAGCGAGUUGGGGGGGUAACGGCUCACCAAGGCGACGAUACAUAGCCGACCUGAGAGGGUGAUCGGCCCCACUGGGACUGAGACACGGCCCAGACUCCUACGGGAGGCAGCCGUAGGGAAUCUUCGGCAAUGGACGGAAGUCUGACCGAGCAACGCCGCGUGAGUGAAGAAGGUUUUCGGAUCGUAAAGCUCUGUUGUAUGAGAAGAACGAGUGUGAGAGUGGAAAGUUCACACUGUGACGGUAUCUUACCAGAAAGAGACGGCUAACUACGUG
rnacentral:rRNA from 1 species